CCAGGAUGAUGUGGACACUUUUGUAAAAGGUCCUUCAUCCUCUCCCAAGUCUCAUGAAAUGGUUCUCCCUCUAUUUGCGAAAAACCAGUUAUGGCUUUUCGUAUUUG